rnacentral:rRNA from 1 species
GGGACACGUGGUAUCCUGUCUGAAUAUGGGGGGACCAUCCUCCAAGGCUAAAUACUCCUGACUGACCGAUAGUGAACCAGUACCGUGAGGGAAAGGCGAAAAGAACCCCGGCGAGGGGAGUGAAAAAGAACCUGAAACCGUGUACGUACAAGCAGUGGGAGCACCUUCGGGUGUGACUGCGUACCUUUUGUAUAAUGGGUCAGCGACUUAUAUUCUGUAGCAAGGUUAACCGUAUAGGGGAGCCGCAGGGAAACCGAGUCUUAACUGGGCGUUAAGUUGCAGGGUAUAGACCCGAAACCCGGUGAUCUAGCCAUGGGCAGGUUGAAGGUUGGGUAACACUAACUGGAGGACCGAACCGACUAAUGUUGAAAAAUUAGCGGAUGACUUGUGGCUGGGGGUGAAAGGCCAAUCAAACCGGGAGAUAGCUGGUUCUCCCCGAAAGCUAUUUAGGUAGCGCCUCGUGAACUCAUCUUCGGGGGUAGAGCACUGUUUCGGCUAGGGGGUCAUCCCGACUUACCAACCCGAUGCAAACUACGAAUACCGAAGAAUGUUAUCACGGGAGACACACGGCGGGUGCUAACGUCCGUCGUGAAGAGGGAAACAACCCAGACCGCCAGCUAAGGUCCCAAAGUCAUGGUUAAGUGGGAAACGAUGUGGGAAGGCACAGACAGCCAGGAUGUUGGCUUAGAAGCAGCCAUCAUUUAAAGAAAGCGUAAUAGCUCACUGGUCGAGUCGGCCUGCGCGGAAGAUGUAACGGGGCUAAACCAUGCACCGAAGCUGCGGCAGCGACACUAUGUGUUGUUGGGUAGGGGAGCGUUCUGUAAGCCUGCGAAGGUGUGCUGUGAGGCAUGCUGGAGGUAUCAGAAGUGCGAAUGCUGACAUAAGUAACGAUAAAGCGGGUGAAAAGCCCGCUCGCCGGAAGACCAAGGGUUCCUGUCCAACGUUAAUCGGGGCAGGGUGAGUCGACCCCUAAGGCGAGGCCGAAAGGCGUAGUCGAU